GACGAACGCUGGCGGCGUGCUUAACACAUGCCAGUCGAACGGAAAGGCCCUGCUUUUGUGGGGUGCUCGAGUGGCGAACGGGUGAGUAACACGUGAGUAACCUGCCCUUGACUUUGGGAUAACUUCAGGAAACUGGGGCUAAUACCGGAUAGGAGCUCCUGCUGCAUGGUGGGGGUUGGAAAGUUUCGGCGGUUGGGGAUGGACUCGCGGCUUAUCAGCUUGUUGGUGGGGUAGUGGCUUACCAAGGCUUUGACGGGUAGCCGGCCUGAGAGGGUGACCGGCCACAUUGGGACUGAGAUACGGCCCAGACGCCUACGGGAGGCAGCAGUGGGGAAUAUGGCACAAUGGGCGGAAGCCUGAUGCAGCAACGCCGCGUGCGGGAUGACGGCCUUCGGGUUGUAAACCGCUUUCGCCUGUGACGAAGCGUGAGUGACGGUAAUGGGUAAAGAAGCACCGGCUAACUACGUG
rnacentral:rRNA from 1 species